rnacentral:rRNA from 1 species
UACGAAGGGGGCUAGCGUUGUUCGGAAUCACUGGGCGUAAAGGGCGCGUAGGCGGCUUUGUAAGUCGGGGGGUGAAAGCCUGUGGCUCAACCACAGAAUUGCCUUCGAUACUGCAUGGCUUGAGACCGGAAGAGGUAAGUGGAACUGCGAGUGUAGAGGUGAAAUUCGUAGAUAUUCGCAAGAACACCAGUGGCGAAGGCGGCUCACUGGCCCGAUACUGACGCUGAGGCACGAAAAGCGUGGGGAGCAAACAGG